rnacentral:rRNA from 1 species
UGGGGAAUUUUGGACAAUGGGCGAAAGCCUGAUCCAGCAAUGCCGCGUGUGUGAAGAAGGCCUUCGGGUUGUAAAGCACUUUUGUCCGGAAAGAAAUCCUUGGCUCUAAUACAGUCGGGGGAUGACGGUACCGGAAGAAUAAGCACCGGCUAACUACGUGCCAGCAGCCGCGGUAAUACGCAGGGUGCAAGCGUUAAUCGGAAUUACUGGGCGUAAAGCGUGCGCAGGCGGUUUGCUAAGACCGAUGUGAAAUCCCCGGGCUCAACCUGGGAACUGCAUUGGUGACUGGCAGGCUAGAGUAUGGCAGAGGGGGGUAGAAUUCCACGUGUAGCAGUGAAAUGCGUAGAGAUGUGGAGGAAUACCGAUGGCGAAGGCAGCCCCCUGGGCCAAAUACUGACGCUCAUGCACGAAAGCGUGGGGGAGCAAACAGGAUUAGAUACCCUGGUAGUCCACGCCCUAAACGAUGUCAACUAGUUGUUGGGGAUUCAUUUCCUUAGUAACGUAGCUAACGCGUGAAGUUGACCGCCUGGGGAGUACGGUCGCAAGAUUAAAACUCAAAUGAAUUGACGGGGUCAUAGCUGUUUCCU